AAUCCCGAGUAGCAUGGGGCACGUGAAAUCCCGUGUGAAUCAGCGAGGACCACCUCGUAAGGCUAAAUACUCCUGAGUGACCGAUAGCGAAAUAGUACCACGAGGGAAAGGUGAAAAGAACCCCUGUUGGGGAGUGAAAUAGAACAUGAAACCGUAUGCUGACAAGCAGUGGGAGCAAGAAUGCUUGUGACCGCGUGCCUGUUGAAGAAUGAGCCGGCGACUUAUAGGGAGUGGCUGGGUUAAGGAGUAAAAUCCGGAGCCCAAGCGAAAGCGAGUCUGAAUAGGGCGCAAAUGGUCACUUCUUAUGGACCCGAACCCGGGUGAUCUAUUCAUGGCCAGGAUGAAGCUUGGGUAACACCAAGUGGAGGUCCGAACCGACCGAUGUUGAAAAAUCGGCGGAUGAGCUGUGAAUAGGGGAGAAAUUCCAAUCGAACUCGGAGCUAGCUGGAUCUCCCCGAAAUGCGUUGAGGCGCAGCGGUAACGAUGAACUGUCUUGGGGUAAAGCUACUGUUUCGAUGCGGGCUGCGAAAGCGGUACCAAGUCGUGGCAAACUCAGAAUACAAGACAUGUCUUCCGUAAACCAGUGAGACAGUGGGGGAUAAGCUUCAUUGUCAAGAGGGAAACAGCCCAGAUCACCAGCUAAGGCCCCUAAAUGGUCACUAAGUGGAAAAGGAUGUGAGAAUGCUGAAACAACCAGGAGGUUUGCUUAGAAGCAGCCACCCUUCAAAGAGUGCGUAAUAGCUCACUGGUAAAGCGUUCUUGCGCCGAUAAUGGCCGGGACUAAGUGACCUGCCGAAGCUGUGAUAUAAUUUAUUAUAUAAAUUAUAGGUAGGGGAGCGUUCCGCUCUCGGGUGAAGUUUUCACGUAAGUGGGGAUGGACGAAGCGGAAGUGAGAAUGUCGGCUUGAGUAACGAAAACAUUGGUGAGAAUCCAAUGCCCCGAAAACCUAAGGGUUCCUCCACUAGGUUCGUCCAUGGGGGGUUAGUCAGGACCUAAGACUAGGCCAAACGGCGUCGUCGAUGGAAAACAGGUUAAUAUUCCUGUACGAGUUAAAUUAUGAUCUGAGGGACGAAGGAGGCUAAGCUAGAACUGUUUUUGGAUUGCAGUGGAAGCGUUUAGACGUUGAGAGAUAGAAAAAAAGCUAUCUUGAGUGGAGACGUGAUCCCUAUUUGAUGGUUCGCCGUCGAGUAGCUAGUGAUGUCAUACUUCCAAGAAAAGCUCAUACAUCUUUAUAAUUUAAUGACCUGUACCUGAAACCGACACAGGUAGGUUGGUAGAGAAUACCAAGGGGCGCGAGAGAACUCUCUCUAAGGAACUCGGCAAACUGGCCCCGUAACUUCGGAAGAAGGGGCACCCAUCCGUAACAAGGUGGGUCGCAGUGACCAGGCCCAGGCGACUGUUUACCAAAAACACAGGUCUCCGCAAAGUCGUAAGACAAUAUAUGGGGGCUGACGCCUGCCCAGUGCCGGAAGGUUAAGGAAGUUGGUUAUUUCGUAAGAAAAAAGCUGACGACCGAAGCCCCGGUGAACGGCGGUCGUAACUAUAACGAUCCUAAGGUAGCGAAAUUCAUUGUCGAGUAAGUUUCGACCUGCACGAAAGGCGUAACGAUCUGGGCGCUGUCUCGGAGAGAGGCUCGGUGAAAUAGACUUGUCCCGUGAAGAUGCGGACUACCUACACCUGGACAGAAAGACCCUAUGAAGCUUGACUGUAUCUUGGAAUUGGGUUUGGGCUUUUCUUGCGCAGCCUAGGUGGGAGGCUAUGAAGAUUACCUUCCGGGGUAAUUAGAGCCGUCAUUGAGAGACCACUCUGGAAGAGCUAGAAUCCUAAUGGGGAUCCUUGAAUCAGGACCCUUGACAGUUUCAGGUGGGCAGUUUAUUUGGGGCGAAUGCCUCCUAAAAGGUAACGGAGGCGUGCAAAGGUUCCCUCAGUCUGGACGGAAAUCAGACAUUGAGUGUAAAGGCAAAAGGGAGCUUGACUGCAAGACCUACAAGUCGAGCAGGGGCGAAAGCCGGCCUUAGUGAUCCGACGGUGCCGCGUGGAAGGGCCGUCGCUCAACGGAUAAAAGUUACUCUAGGGAUAACAGGCUGAUCUUCCCCAAGAGUUCACAUCGACGGGAAGGUUUGGCACCUCGAUGUCGGCUCAUCACAUCCUCGGUCUGUAGUAGGUCCGAAGGGUUGGGCUGUUCGCCCAUUAAAGUGGUACGUGAGCUGGGUUCAAAACGU
rnacentral:rRNA from 1 species